rnacentral:rRNA from 1 species
AGCAGUCGGCAGCUCUAACACAUGCAAUUCGAGCCGGAUGACGGGAGCUUGCUCCCUGUACAUUCAGCGGCGGACGGGUGAGUAAUGCCUAGGAAUCUGCCUGGUAGUGGGGGACAACGUUUCUAAAGGAACGCUAAUACCGCAUACUUCCUACGGGUAAAAAGCAGGGGUACCUUCGUGGCCUUGCUGCUAUCAGUAUGAGCGUAGGUUCGGAUUAGGUAUUUGGUGUGGUUUUAAUGGUCUCACCAAGUGCGACUUAUCCGUAACUGGUUCUGAGUAGUGAUGAUCAGUCACACUGGUAACUGAGACACGGUUCCAAAUCUCCUACGGGUAGGCAGCAGUGGGGAAUAUUGGUACAAUGGGGCCGAAAGCCUGUAUCCACCCAUGCCGCUCGUUGUGUGAAAAAGGUCUUCGGAUUGUAAAGCACUUUAAUUUGGGAGGAAGGGCAGUAAGUUAAUUCUUUGCUGUUUUGACGUUACCGACAGAAUAAGCACCGGCUAACUCUGUGCCAGCAGCCGCGGUAAUACAGAGGGUGCAAGCGUUAAUCGGAAUUACUGGGCGUAAAGCGCGCGUAGGUGGUGUGUUAAUUUGAAUGUGAAACCCCGGCCUCAACCUGGGAACUGCAUCCAAAACUGGCGCUAAUGGUAGAGGGUGGUGGAAUUUCCUGUGUAGCGGUGAAAUGCGUAGAUAUAGGAAGGAACACCAUGGCGAAGGCGACCACCUGGACUGAUAUGAAUGAGGGGAAAGGUGGGGAGCAAACAGGAUUAGAUAACCCUGGUAGUCCACGCCGUAAAGAUGUAAAUAGCCGUUGGCCUUGAGUUUUAGGGCGCAGCUAACGCAUUAAGUUGACCGCCUGGGGAGUACGGCCGCAAGGUUAAAACUCAAAUGAAUUGACGGGGGCCCGCAAAAGCGGUGGAGCAUGUGGUUUAAUUUGAAGCAACGCGAAGAACCUUACCAGGCCUUGACAUCCAAUGAACUUUCUAGAGAUAGAUUGGUGCCUUCGGGAACAUUGAGACAGGUGCUGCAUGGCUGUUGUCAGCUCGUGUCGUGAGAUGUUGGGUUAAGUCCCGUAACGAGCGCAACCCUUGUCCUUAGUUACCAGCACGUUAUGGUGGGCAAUUUAAGGGACUGCCGGUGACAAACCGGAGGAAGGUGGGGGAUGACGUCAAGUCAUCAUGGCCCUUACGGCCUGGGUACACACGUGCUACAAUGGUCGGUACAGAGGGUUGCCAAGCCGCGAAGGUGGAGCUAAUUUCACAAAACCGAUUGUAGUCCGGAUUGCAGUUUGCAAAUUGACUGCGUGAAGUCGGAAUUGCUAGUAAUCGCGAAUCAGAAUGUUGCGGUGAAUACGUUCCCGGGCCUUGUACACACCGCCCGUCACACCAUGGGAGUGGGUUGCACCAGAAGUAGCUAGUUUAACCUUCGGGAGGACGUUACCAC